UACGGAGGGUGCAAGCGUUAUCCGGAUUUAUUGGGUUUAAAGGGUCCGUAGGCGGACUUAUAAGUCAGUGGUGAAAGCCUGUCGCUUAACGAUAGAACUGCCAUUGAUACUGUAAGUCUUGAGUAUAUUUGAGGUAGCUGGAAUAAGUAGUGUAGCGGUGAAAUGCAUAGAUAUUACUUAGAACACCAAUUGCGAAGGCAGGUUACCAAGAUAUAACUGACGCUGAGGGACGAAAGCGUGGGUAGCGAACAGG
rnacentral:rRNA from 2 species